UGAGACACACAUCCAAUCAUCCACCAGAUAGAAAACUCUAGAAAAUUUUCUUUCCAUCUAUGGGCGAGGGGAAAGAACUACACUCUUAAUCCCUUUUCUUGCUAAAUGGUGGCUUGUUCUUUGGGAAGGAGCAUUGAGGUGAAUUUUCUACAGAGAGAGCAAAAGCUGUUUUAGCUGGUUGUAUGUACAUGUGUGUGUGUGCAUGCGUGCGUGUUAUAAAAAUAUUCACAUGUAUGAGUAAACUAAUAUUUUCCUUCAAGAGUGUCUUAGACAUGAUGGAAAGGGGUAUUUUACCACUUUCUCCAAGAGAAAAAUGGAGGAGAGAGAGAAGAAAAGAAGAUUUAAAUCUUAUAUUUUGCUUUGAAUGUGGGUGGUGAUUUCUUAUCUUCCCACCAGUGGCUUUCCUUAAAACAGGGGAGCAAAGUACCCUAGUCUCUAAAAGCCCGUGGUCACAAGAUACCCCAAGAAGCAUAGAUGAUUUCCCUUUGGAUUGGUCCACUAUCCAUAAGCUCUGGAUGACAUCAGUCUUGUCUGUCACCCUCUCCCCUCUAGGAGGGCUGAGUAUGGUCUUUGUAGAGUGGAGCUCCUGGAUUACCCCAACCCCAUUUAAAAUCUAAAUGGCAGGAUUCCUGCCGGAAUGUGUAGGACGAGGAUUAAAUUGAUUUGUUCCAC
rnacentral:lncRNA from 1 species